rnacentral:rRNA from 1 species
GACGAACGCUGGCGGCGUGCCUAAUACAUGCAAGUCGAGCGAAUCAAUAGGAGCUUGCUCCUGUUGGUUAGCGGCGGACGGGUGAGUAACACGUGGGCAACCUGCCUGUAAGACUGGGAUAACUUCGGGAAACCGGAGCUAAUACCGGAUAAUCCUUUUCCACACAUGUGGAAAGCUGAAAGUCGGUUUCGGCUGACACUUACAGAUGGGCCCGCGGCGCAUUAGCUAGUUGGUGAGGUAACGGCUCACCAAGGCGACGAUGCGUAGCCGACCUGAGAGGGUGAUCGGCCACACUGGGACUGAGACACGGCCCAGACUCCUACGGGAGGCAGCAGUAGGGAAUCUUCCGCAAUGGACGAAAGUCUGACGGAGCAACGCCGCGUGAGCGAUGAAGGCCUUCGGGUCGUAAAGCUCUGUUGUUAGGGAAGAACAAGUAUCGGAGUAACUGCCGGUACCUUGACGGUACCUAACCAGAAAGCCACGGCUAACUACGUG